rnacentral:piRNA from 1 species
UGUAAAGCUAUACUUACGGUACCCUGUU